GACGAACGCUGCGGCGUGCCUAACACAUGCAAGUUGAGCGACUAACCAGGGCUUGCCCUGGGGCAAAGCAGCGAACGGGUGAGUAACACGUGGGUAACCUGCCGAGAUGACCGGGACAACCCGAGGAAACUCGGGCUAAUACCGGAUGGGUUUCACACACAUCAGUGUGUGAAGGAAAGGAAGCUUCGGCCUCCGCAUCCCGAGGGGCCCGCGGCCCAUUAGCUUGUUGGUGAGGUAACGGCUCACCAAGGCAACGAUGGGUACCUGGUCUGAGAGGACGAUCAGCCACACUGGGACUGAGACACGGCCCAGACUCCUACGGGAGGCAGCAGUGGGGAAUCUUGCGCAAUGCGCGAAAGCGUGACGCAGCAACGCCGCGUGAGGGAAGACGGCCUUCGGGUUGUAAACCUCUUUCAGAAGGGACGAAGGGUCGGCCGCGAAUAGCGAGCCGGCUUGACGGUACCUUCAGAAGAAGCCCCGGCUAACUACGUGCCAGCAGCCGCAGUAA
rnacentral:rRNA from 1 species